rnacentral:sRNA from 1 species
GCUUAGCCCCGAUGGAAGGGAAAAUCCUUUUGUCUCGUUUUUUGGAACGAGACAAAAGAUUUGGAAUGACAGCGGGAUUAGCU